CUUCACCGAACCCAACCACAACGGCCUCUCGCGGUCCUGGCCGUAGGUUGCCAGAAGCGCCUGCGCCUC
rfam:Kibdelosporangium aridum strain DSM 43828 genome assembly, contig: LX79DRAFT_scaffold00001.1